rnacentral:rRNA from 1 species
GGCUAGUUGGUGAGGUAAAGGCGUACCAAGGCGACGAUCUGUAGCGGGUCUGAGAGGAUGAUCCGCCACACUGGAACUGAGACACGGUCCAGACUCCUACGGGAGGCAGCAGUGGGGAAUUUUGGACAAUGGGGGCAACCCUGAUCCAGCCAUGCCGCGUGAGUGAAGAAGGCCUUCGGGUUGUAAAGCUCUUUCGGCCGGGAAGAAAUCGCAUGGGCCAAUACCCUGUGUGGAUGACGGUACCGGAAUAAGGAGCACCGGCUAACUACGUGCCAGCAGCCGCGGUAAUACGUAGGGUGCGAGCGUUAAUCGGAAUUACUGGGCGUAAAGCGUGCGCAGGCGGUUUUGUAAGACAGGCGUGAAAUCCCCGGGCUUAACCUGGGAACUGCGUUUGUGACUGCAAGGCUAGAGUACGGCAGAGGGGGGUGGAAUUCCACGUGUAGCAGUGAAAUGCUUAGAGAUGUGGAGGAACACCAAUGGCGAAGGCAGCCCCCUGGGUCGAUACUGACGCUCAUGCACGAGAGCGUGGGUAGCAAACAGGAUUAGAUACCCUGGUAGUCCACGCCCUAAACUAUGUCAACUAGGUGUUGGGUGGGUAAAACCAUUUAGUACCGUAGCUAACGCGUGAAGUUGACCGCCUGGGGAGUACGGCCGCAAGGUUAAAACUCAAAGGAAUUGACGGGGACCCGCACAAGCGGUGGAUGAUGUGGAUUAAUUCGAUGCAACGCGAAAAACCUUACCUACCCUUGACAUGCCAGGAACUUGCCAGAGAUGGCUUGGUGCCCGAAAGGGAGCCUGGACACAGGUGCUGCAUGGCUGUCGUCAGCUCGUGUCGUGAGAUGUUGGGUUAAGUCCCGCAACGAGCGCAACCCUUGUCGUUAAUUGCCAUCAUUUAGUUGGGCACUUUAACGAGACUGCCGGUGACAAACCGGAGGAAGGUGGGGAUGACGUCAAGUCCUCAUGGCCCUUAUGGGUAGGGCUUCACACGUCAUACAAUGGUCGGUACAAAGGGUUGCCAAGCCGCGAGGCGGAGCCAAUCCCAGAAAGCCGAUCGUAGUCCGGAUUGCAGGCUGCAACUCGCCUGCAUGAAGUCGGAAUCGCUAGUAAUCGUGGAUCAGCAUGUCACGGUGAAUACGUUCCCGGGUCUUGUACACACCGCCCGUCACACCAUGGGAGCGGGUUCCGCCAGAAGUAGGUAGCCUAACCGCAAGGGGGGCGCUUACCACGGCGGGGUUCGUGACUGGGGUGAAGUCGAAACAAGGUAGCCGUAGGGGAACCUGCGGCUG